GGAAGUUCAUUUCCGAAACAAUUAUUUCGGAAGUUCACUUCCGAAAUACUACGAUUUCUGCAGAUUUAUCAAAACACUCCCCCUCCCCCAAUCAUUUACCCUAAAUCAAAACAAAAAGUGGCAGAGGCGAAAAUUUGUGCAAACGGAAUUCCAAAGCUGCAUCAAGGCUCCAAUCACACUGCUAAACAACAUUCAAAAGCCCUCAAUCCUAACACUUUGAACAUGUCAGACAACCAACAAGCACGCAGGACUGCGUCUUCUAAAGAGGGCGCUAAGGGAAGAAAGAGUUCUUCAAAGAAGGAGGUGAAAGAGGUGAAGGAGGUGAAGGAGGUGAAGGAGAAGAAGAAGCUUUUGACUGGUUCUGCUUCUCGUCCCCUGGGAGUCCAUGGCUCGGACGCGCAGGCUCAGCCUUCAGGCGUGAUCAACGCUGAUGGUUCUGAUAAUGAGUGGGAUGAAGAUUGGUAUAAUUAUCUUCAUUCGGAGGAGUUCGCUCGUCGAGAAGAAUAACGUGUUUUUAUUUUGUUUGAUGUGUAUUUUGUAACGCUCGUCGGGCAGAAUAACAUGUUUUUGUUUUGUUUGACGUGUCUUGUUUUGUUCUGAUUUCGGAUUGUAUCGAAUAAUGUUUUUGUAUUGGA